AGAGCGAACGCUGGCGGCAGGCCUAAUACAUGCAAGUCGAACGGAUCCUUCGGGAUUAGUGGCGGACGGGUGAGUAACACGUGGGAACGUGCCCUUUGGUUCGGAACAACUCAGGGAAACUUGAGCUAAUACCGAAUGUGCCCUUCGGGGGAAAGAUUUAUCGCCAUUGGAGCGGCCCGCGUCUGAUUAGCUAGUUGGUGAGGUAAAGGCUCACCAAGGCGACGAUCAGUAGCUGGUCUGAGAGGAUGAUCAGCCACACUGGGACUGAGACACGGCCCAGACUCCUACGGGAGGCAGCAGUGGGGAAUAUUGGACAAUGGGCGAAAGCCUGAUCCAGCCAUGCCGCGUGAGUGAUGAAGGCCUUAGGGUUGUAAAGCUCUUUCAGUGGGGAAGAUAAUGACGGUACCCACAGAAGAAGCCCCGGCUAACUUCGUGCCAGCAGCCGC
rnacentral:rRNA from 1 species